UCCUACGGGACGCAGCAGUGGGGGAUAUUGCACAAUGGGGGAAACCCUGAUGCAGCGACGCCGCGUGAGUGAAGAAGUAUUUCGGUACGUAAAGCUCUGUUCUUGGUGAAGAUAAUGACGGUAGCCAAGGAGAAAGCUCCGGCUAACUACGUGCCAGCAGCCGCGGUAAUACGUAGGGAGCGAGCGUUGUCCGGAUUUACUGGGUGUAAAGGGUGCGCAGGCGGCUCUGCAAGUCAGGCGUGAAAGCUAGGGACUCAACCCCUAAAUUGCGCUUGAAACUGUGGAGCUUGAGUGAAGUAGAGGCA
rnacentral:rRNA from 1 species